UCUAAAGUCUAAAACGACUCUNGGNAACNGAUAUNUCGGCUCUCGCAUCGAUGAANAACNUANCGAAAUGCGAUACUUGGUGUGAAUUGCAGAAUCCCGUGAACCAUCGAGUCUUUGAACGCAAGUUGCGCCCCACGCCUUCUGGCCGAAGGCACGUCUGCCUGGG
rnacentral:rRNA from 1 species